GACGGAUGGGGCUAGCGUUGUUCGGAAUUACUGGGCGUAAAGGGCGCGUAGGCGGCCACUUAAGUUAGACGUGAAAGCCCUAGGCUUAACCUAGGAACUGCGUUUAAUACUGGGUGGCUAGAGUAUGGUAGAGGAAAGCGGAAUUCCUAGUGUAGAGGUGAAAUUCGUAGAUAUUAGGAAGAACACCAGAGGCGAAGGCGGCUUUCUGGACCAUUACUGACGCUGAGGCGCGAAAGCGUGGGGAGCAAACAGG
rnacentral:rRNA from 1 species